UACGUAGGGGGCGAGCGUUGCUCGGAAUUACUGGGCGUAAAGGGCUCGUAGGCGGCCAACUAAGUCAGACGUGAAAUCCCUCGGCUCAACUGAGGAACUGCCUUUGAAACUGCCUGGCUUGAGGCCGGGAGGGGGUAGCGGAAUUCCCAGUGUAGCGGUGAAAUGCGUAGAUAUUGGGAGGAACACCAGUGGCGAAGGCGGCUACCUGGACCGGUUCUGACGCUGAUGCGCGAAAGCGUGGGUAGCAAACAGG
rnacentral:rRNA from 1 species